AACUUAAAAUGAAAUAAAAAUAAUAAAAUACCUAGGAAUAUACCUAACCAAGGAGGCGAAAGACCUCUCCAAGGAAAACAAUAAACCACUGCUGAAAGAAAUCAGAGAUGACACAAACAAAUGGAAACACAUCCCAUGCUCAUGGACGGGUAAAA